rnacentral:tRNA from 1 species
UGUUCUGUGGCUUAGUUGGUUAAAGCGCCGGUCUUGCGAAUACGGAGUCGUGGGUUCUAAUCCCACCAGAAGAC